GACGAACGCUGGCGGCGUGCUUAACACAUGCAAGUCGAACGGAAAGGCCCUGCUUUUGUGGGGUGCUCGAGUGGCGAACGGGUGAGUAACACGUGAGUAACCUGCCCUUGACUUUGGGAUAACUUCAGGAAAAUGGGGCUAAUACCGGAUAGGAGCUCCUGCUGCACGGUGGGGGAUGGAAAGUUUCGGCGGUUGGGGAUGGACUCGCGGCUUAUCAGCUUGUUGGUGGGGUAGUGGCUUACCAAGGCUUUGACGGGUAGCCGGCCUGGGAGGGUGACCGGCCACAAUGGGACUGCGAUACGGCCCAGACGCCUACGGGAGGCAGCAGUGGGGAAUAUUGCACAAUGGGCGGAAGCCUGAUGCAGCAACGCCGCGUGCGGGAUGACGGCCUUCGGGUUGUAAACCGCUUUCGCCUGUGACGAAGCGUGAGUGACGGUAAUGGGUAAAGAAGCACCGGCUAACUACGUG
rnacentral:rRNA from 1 species